GACGUAGGGCGCGAGCGUUGUCCGGAUUUAUUGGGCGUAAAGAGCUCGUAGGCGGCUUGUCGCGUCGUCCGUGAAAACUUGGGGCUCAACCCCAAGCUUGCGGUCGAUACGGGCAGGCUAGAGUUCGGUAGGGGAGACUGGAAUUCCUGGUGUAGCGGUGAAAUGCGCAGAUAUCAGGAGGAACACCGGUGGCGAAGGCGGGUCUCUGGGCCGAUACUGACGCUGAGGAGCGAAAGCGUGGGGAGCAAACAGG
rnacentral:rRNA from 1 species